rnacentral:lncRNA from 1 species
UGAGAUGCUAAUAGAUGACCCUCUUCCUCUCUCACCUAGCCCCUCGUCUCCUGUAUCUCCCAGCACCCCAACCUCCACUGACUCAGCCUAACACACCAUCAUCCCCACCACCACUUCUCAGCCUUCCAGUGUGCUUGCUGUCUUCCCACUUCUGCUAGAAGAGGAGUCCUUGCAGGAGAGGAUCUGCCUGUGUUGGAGAAAUUCUUUGGUGUGUCUUUGGGAGCAGAUCGGUAAGAAGAGAUAAGAGAAGAAAUGGAGUGGUCUGCAGAUAUUUAUACAGAGGAGGAUUCGUAUUUCCUUUCUGUGGUUCCCCAAAUCAUCUAGAAAAUCAGCAUCACAGAAUGCUCUGUGAUAUUACGUGUGUGUGUGUGCACACAGCGAGGUGGAUGGGCUGAUUGAAAAUAGCCUGUGCAGAAUCAAGAAGAAGGAUAUAGAGAAAAAAUGCUGAGGAAGUAAACUCCUAGAAAACUGCAGAAAUUUUUGGUGGGAGUGGAGGCUUCUCACAGGUGGUAGAGCUGAGAUUCUUACCAGGUGUAGCCAACUUUCUGAGGAGAAGGUUCUGUGAUUUCUAUUUCAUAAUUCUCUGACUGUCUAAAGUGCCUGCUUCUUUGGCACUAGUGUCAUUUUGG